GCCUGGCUAGCUCAAUCGGUAGAGCGUGAGACUCUUAUUCAAAGCUAUCUCAAGGCUGUGGGUUCAAGCCCCACGUCGGGCU
rfam:Yarrowia lipolytica strain CLIB122 chromosome A complete sequence.